rnacentral:rRNA from 1 species
UACGUAGGGUGCGAGCGUUGUCCGGAUUUAUUGGGCGUAAAGAGCUCGUAGGCGGUUUGUCGCGUCGGCCGUGAAAUCUCCACGCUUAACGUGGAGCGUGCGGUCGAUACGGGCAGACUUGAGUUCGGUAGGGGAGACUGGAAUUCCUGGUGUAGCGGUGAAAUGCGCAGAUAUCAGGAGGAACACCGGUGGCGAAGGCGGCAUCCUGGACCGGCAUUGACGCUGAGGCGCGAAAGCCAGGGGAGCAAACGGG